rnacentral:rRNA from 1 species
CUCCUACGGGGCGCAGCAGUGAGGAAUAUUGGUCAAUGGGCGGAAGCCUGAACCAGCCAAGUCGCGUGAGGGAAGAAGGCCCUGCGGGUCGCAGACCUCUUUGGACGGGGAGCAAGGCCGCCGACGUGUCGGCGGAAGGAGAGUACCCGUAGAACAAGCAUCGGCUAACUCCGUGCCAGCAGCCGCGGUAAUACGUAGGGGGCAAGCGUUAUCCGGAUUUACUGGGUGUAAAGGGUGCGUAGGUGGCAGGGCAAGUCAGAUGUGAAAGCCCGGGGCUCAACCCCGGUACUGCAUUUGAAACUGUC